UGAGGAGUAGAUCAAUUGGUAGAUCACCUGACUCUGGAUCAGGGGGUUGCAGGUUCGAGCCCUGCCUCCUCAG
rnacentral:tRNA from 1 species